rnacentral:rRNA from 1 species
UACGAAGGGGGCUAGCGUUGCUCGGAAUCACUGGGCGUAAAGCGCACGUAGGCGGAUCUUUAAGUCAGGGGUGAAAUCCUGGAGCUCAACUCCAGAACUGCCUUUGAUACUGGGGAUCUCGAGUCCAGGAGAGGUGAGUGGAACUGCGAGUGUAGAGGUGAAAUUCGUAGAUAUUCGCAAGAACACCAGUGGCGAAGGCGGCUCACUGGCCCGGUACUGACGCUGAGGUGCGAAAGCGUGGGGAGCAAACAGG